AGGGUCAUGAACUGACACCAGUUGGUUCCAUUGAAACCACCUUACUGAGCUUUAAUCAAAUGGGUGCUACAAAAACCAGAUUUGGGGUCACACUUUUUUAUUAACUUUUAUGGGUUAGUGUGCAGAGUGACGGAUUUCAUUGUGGCAUCAUUCUACUGAAAAUGAAUGGAGUCCCUACUUUGACAAAACAUUAUAUUUUGGUCUAGAGGAAGGGAAGGGAAAGAAGGGUUGCUGAUAUUCUCCAGGUGGUACAUAUCAGACACUGGCCUGCACAGCUUGCCCUCCCCACAUUUCCUAGAGGUCCUUAUAUUUGCAGGUGAGAAAGAAGGUUGAAAGCCUGGCUGGCAACUGGUAUUUCAGACAAUCUCUUAGAGCCCAGCCCUUUGCCCACUCUACCCAGAAGCAUGAUCUAAGCAGUUUGGCAUUUCUGGGUGUGGAGGAGGGACCUGCAGACAGCAACCUUGAGUGGGAGCCUGAGGCGGAGAAUUCCUCAGGAGAAAGGUCAUUUCAUUCACUUGAAGUUUAUACGGUUUGGUCCCGUGGGAAGCCUCUUCACCAGGCUGACCAUUGAGAGCAACGGAAGAAGGUCCUCUCCUCAGGAAAGCCCUAACAGGCCAGGGUUGGGCUGCUGGGCACCUCGAGCAGCCACCUCCAUUUGCUUCCAACCCAGUCUUCCUCUCCCUGCUGGACCUGGCCAGGGCAAGACACUCCCUUGGGUCUUGGGCACAGGGGCCUCAGCUUGGCUUUUUCAGGCGGGAGGGCUAAGUCAGCCCAGCUCAGGUGGGAUAAGAGAUUGGCUGCAGCCAGUCAGGCGGGUGGAGAUCUGGGGCCCCUGGCCUGGCUCAGCUUCUCCCCACUUCCCCAUACCUACCCUUUGGACUGUGGGCAAAGUACACAUACAAUAGAACUCAGGGGGCCGAGGGAAAGAAAAACAGACCUGUUUGUUCUCUGUCCCACUGUCUGUGCUGUUUCAGUGAGAGAUAGAAGAAGAUGGAGGGAUGGUGUUCACGUUGUCACUGCACUGGGAGUUAAGAUGAGAGAUCCCCAGAGGUUGACAGGGAGUGAAAAGCUGCAGAAUGAAACUAGAGCGUGACACUGAGUCCCUUUUAACCCAUCCUGGCCCAUUUCUACCUACAUUCUCCAACUUGCUUCACCUAUGAAAUGCGUGUCUCUGUUGGAUUAUCGUGGAGUAAGGUUUCCAAACACAGCAGAGAUUCCUGAAGCCUGAGGCAGUGCAGAUCUCCUGGAAUCCCAAAAUUAUGACCUGCUUAACCAAAGUUCAUUUUCAAGUGGCCACAGACGAGAGCAACUACUUCACGGAGUGCAGGACACCAGCAAGGAUGCAACAGUGACAGACACUGUCACACUGGGAAAAUGACCCGAACUCCGUCCUUACCAGGAUGUAGAAUGCUGAGGAGUUUUGAGACAAACAAUUGUACUAAAGAAGUGGAAACAUCCUGAUGAAGACAUCAAGACAGCAGUAGAAUUGGUGUGAAAACAAGUCAAGCAACACAUUUCCACAAUGAAGAGACACACGGAGAUAAAGGAAUGGACUGCUGGGCUGGAGUUCCAGUUGUAUCACUUUCCAUUCGUGAGAGCUGGGGGUGACAUCUCACGUCAUGGCGCUUGCACUCCCUCCUCUGUAUACCGGGGAAUAUAGAAUAACUGUCCUGAUCUGCAGGGUUGGUAUUUUCUGGGUGUAUGGGUAACAGUCAACACCAAGCAAUAAUCAAAUAGUGAGGUCGAUCUAUCAAAUUUAAAUUUAUAAAGCUCCAGGAAGCA